AUGAACGCUGGCGGCGUGCCUAAUACAUGCAAGUCGAGCGAACGGACGAGAAGCUUGCUUCUCUGAUGUUAGCGGCGGACGGGUGAGUAACACGUGGAUAACCUACCUAUAAGACUGGGAUAACUUCGGGAAACCGGAGCUAAUACCGGAUGAUAUUUUGAACCGCAUGGUUCAAAAGUGAAAGAUGGUCUUGCUGUCACUUAUAGAUGGAUCCGCGCUGCAUUAGCUAGUUGGUAAGGUAACGGCUUACCAAGGCAACGAUGCAUAGCCGACCUGAGAGGGUGAUCGGCCACACUGGAACUGAGACACGGUCCAGACUCCUACGGGAGGCAGCAGUAGGGAAUCUUCCGCAAUGGGCGAAAGCCUGACGGAGCAACGCCGCGUGAGUGAUGAAGGUCUUCGGAUCGUAAAACUCUGUUAUUAGGGAAGAACAUAUGUGUAAGUAACUGUGCACAUCUUGACGGUACCUAAUCAGAAAGCCACGGCUAACUACGUG
rnacentral:rRNA from 1 species